AUGUUAGUUCUUUUCCAACCGGUGUGCUUAUUUUCAAGUGGAUCCGAUCAUUUCAACAUUCGCAAGAUCAAUUCUAAGUUUUCUCAAUGGUAUCCAUUCCAUCUGCCCCAAGUUGUCUUUGUUUUCCCGCCCUCCCACCCUUUUUUCUUCAAGGACUCAUAUAUGUUAAUCAAGUAUCCAUUUAUUCAUGUGAAGCCUCUUCACUCCUUGCAAUCAAUGUUCUUAUCUGGUGAUUCUCUAGAAGAUACUAACGGAGUUUCAAGUUCAUCAUUCUUCAUUCUUUUCUUCUCCGGUGGAUUCAAUUCAAGCUUUCGGUUUUCAUCAUAUUCCUUUCCUUGUUUCUAA
rnacentral:rRNA from 1 species